UACGAAGGGGGCUAGCGUUGCUCGGAAUCACUGGGCGUAAAGCGUGUGUAGGCGGUCCACUAAGUCGGGUGUGAAAGCCCUGGGCUCAACCCAGGAAGUGCACUCGAAACUGGACGGGCUAGAGUAUCGGAGAGGUUGGUGGAAUUCUCGGUGUAGAGGUGAAAUUCGUAGAUAUCGAGAGGAACACCGGUGGCGAAGGCGGCCAACUGGACGAAUACUGACGCUGAGACACGAAAGCGUGGGGAGCAAACAGG
rnacentral:rRNA from 1 species